rnacentral:lncRNA from 1 species
UUUAAUUCUAUUUUCCUUUUUUAUUUUUACAAGUAUUUUUUUGGCUAAAUUACAGAAAACCCUUCGGUCAAUGCCCGCUUUUUCAUUUUUCCCCUGUCAUUCAAAAAGCUAUACUUUAUCCUCCUCACUUUGACCUCCGCCGUUAGUGUUCCUUUAGAGUUUCGUUUAUGUCCUAUUGAUGAGCUAGUUCACCGAAGCCACAAAAUCUAGAUUUAAAUUUUCAAAAUGAUUUUUUGUAUUUAGAUAAAGAAAACAUUUAUUUAUUAUGUUUCUUUAUCUCAAUUUGGAUACCAUAAUUUGAAUUUGAGAUCAUUAAACUUUGGACUUGAUACCAUUGAAAAUUUAUCUGCUUUCUUGUUUGCUAAAUAGGAUCACAAGUAAAGUUGGUUCUUUAAGUGCUAAACUCUAAAAUUUUCCACCUUUAUACACUCACCACAAUCUUAACCUCCUCUAUUUUCCUGCAACUCGACGAAUCAAAACAAAGAAGCACUUGCUACC